AUUGAACGCUGGCGGAAUGCUUUACACAUGCAAGUCGAACGGUAGGGGGGGCAACCCCUCGAGAGUGGCGAACGGGUGAGUAAUAUAUCGGAACGUGCCCAGUCGUGGGGGAUAACGUAGCGAAAGUUACGCUAAUACCGCAUACGAUCUAAGGAUGAAAGCGGGGGAUCGCAAGACCUCGCGCGAUUGGAGCGGCCGAUAUCAGAUUAGGUAGUUGGUGUGGUAAAGGCUCACCAAGCCAACGAUCUGUAGCUGGUCUGAGAGGACGACCAGCCACACUGGAACUGAGACACGGUCCAGACUCCUACGGGAGGCAGCAGUGGGGAAUUUUGGACAAUGGACGCAAGUCUGAUCCAGCCAUUCCGCGUGCAGGAUGAAGGCCCUCGGGUUGUAAACUGCUUUUGUACGGAACGAAAAGGUCUCUCUUAAUACGGGGGACUCAUGACGGUACCGUAAGAAUAAGCACCGGCUAACUACGUGCCAGCCGCCGCAGUAA
rnacentral:rRNA from 1 species